rnacentral:lncRNA from 1 species
CUUCUUCCUCCCCUGCUCAUCUUCCUCUCCUUCUUCUCUUCCAACUGCAGCUGCCAUCGCCGCAGCCGCAACCCCUUCUUCCCCUUCUCUUCUUCCUCUCCUUCCCUUCUUCCUUCCUCUCCCUCUUUCCCUGCCACAGCUGCAGCUGCCACAGCCGCAGCCGCUGCUACUUCGUUCCCUUCUCCUCUUCCUUCUCCUACCUUUCUUCUUCUUCUCUUCUUCUCCUUCCUCCCCUUCUUCUCUCCGAUGCACAGCACCUUCUCUCCUCUGUUUCCUCCUGCAGAAAACAGAGGUGCCGCCUCCUCACCCGCUUCUACUUCUUCUCUUCCUCUUCUUCUUCUUCUCCUUCUUCUCCUUCUUCUUCUCCUCUUCUUCCCUUCUCCUACCCGACACC